rnacentral:rRNA from 1 species
AUUGAACGCUAGCGGGAUGAUUUACACAUGCAAGUCGAACGAGUGGCGGACGGGUGAGUAAUAUAUCGGAACGUGCCCAGUAGCGGGGGAUAGCUACUCGAAAGAGUGGCUACUACCGCAUACUAUUGAAGCGGCCGAUAUCGGAUUAGCUAGUUGGAGGGGUAAAGGCUCACCAAGGCAACGAUCCGUAGCUGGUUUGAGAGGACGAACAGCCACACUGGGACUGAGACACGGCCCAGACUCCUACGGGAGGCAUCAGUGGGGAAUUUUGGACAAUGGGGGAAACCCUGAUCCAGCCAUCCCGCGUGUAUGAGAAGGCCUUCGGAUUGUAAAGUACUUUUGGCAGGGAAGCGGUAUCUGCAGAAUAAGCACCGGCUAACUACGUGCCAGCCGCCGCGGUAAUUC